UUUACUUGUUGAUUUUAUUAUGUUUCGUAAGAUGUUCCAACAUUAAGUAUGACAUUCUCUUUAAAUUGAAUGUUGGAACAUCUGAUAAAACAUUAUUUCUCAGUAUCCGUUUUAAUGUUAUAUGCCUUGCCGUGUUAUUUUUGUCAGACCAGAUGUCUCGACAUUCUAUACAACAUCUGGUUCUGCUAUACCAGAAUUUCA
rnacentral:lncRNA from 1 species